CAGUCGUACUUGCGGGAUAAUCAACCUUUAGAUGCGAUUUUGUGGAGCGCCAAGAGUUAAACGCCUUCAUGCCUGCAUAUUCGUAUACUUUGGGUGUACUUAUUCGUGUGGUAAGUUAACAUCAAUUUUGGUGAUCAUAAAAUGAUUAGAGGAAUGUAGCUUUGAUCUCGUAUCGAAGUGUUAUAGCCUCUGGUAGAUGUGACGAUUGGGAUUGAGGAUUGCAACGGAUACCCCUCGGGGCUACCCAUCUGAUCUCUG
rnacentral:rRNA from 1 species